rfam:Pyrenophora teres f. teres 0-1 contig_001809, whole genome shotgun sequence.
UCCGAUAUGGUCUAGUGGCUAGGAUUUGCCGCUCUCAAGCAGAGUCAGCUCACUGUAACACGUGCCGGCAAGGCCCGGGUUCGAUUCCCGGUGUCGGAA